AGGGGUGUUUACAAGCAGAUGACCACAGCUGAAGUGGAUUGUGAGCUUGGAGAGGUCCUGAAACUGGCCACUUUUCGAAAGGGAGGUUCAAAAUUUGAGGAGAAGAGGAGGAAUUAAGAGGGAGGACAAAAAAGGAAAAAGAAACAAGCAAAAGAACAGAGUGAGAUGAGAGGAUUUGGGUUUCCCUGCUUGGGCUGCUGCCCCCGCGACCCGACCUCGGAUAAGCGGAAGAAGAUGGAUGGAUGGAUGGAUGGAUGGAUUUACUUCCAGGAAGAGAACCAAGAAGGGGCAGGAUACACUGACGCGCACGACCAAGACCACUGCAUUCCAUUCCAUUUAUAAAUGAUAAAUGAUAAAUGGGUU